rnacentral:rRNA from 1 species
AGUGAACGCUGGCGGCAGGCCUAACACAUGCAAGUCGAACGAGUGGGGGACGGGUGAGGUAUACAUCGGCAUCUAAUCUGUCGUGGGGGACAAGGAAGGGACACUUACGCUACUACCGCCCUCGAUUGAAUGGGCCGAUGUCGGAUUAGCUAGUGGGCGGGGUAAAGGCCCACCAAGGCGACGAUCCGUAGCUGGUCUGAGAGGAUGAUCAGCCACACUGGAACUGAGACACGGUCCAGACUCCUACGGGAGGCAGCAGUGGGGAAUAUUGGACAAUGGGCGCAAGCCGGAUCCAGCCAUGCCGCGUGGGUGAAGAAGGCCUUCGGAUUGUAAAGCCCUUUUAUUUGGGAAGCGGUACCCAAAGAAUAAGCACCGGCUAACUCCGUGCCAGCAGCCGCGGUAAUAC